rnacentral:lncRNA from 1 species
GGGCUGCCAGUUCUGCUGCAUAUUUCCCUCUUCCCGCAAUUAAAAAAUAAAACCAAAAACCUAAUUCCCUUUAAAUCCAAAGUAUCAGAAUAGAAAAAUAAUGAAACCAGUGUUUUCAACAGCUUUUUGGCAGGAGGAGGAUGAAAGGGAUGAACCAGCAUGCCUUUCUGCUUCAGGUGGAAGUGUCUUCAUGCCUGUCAGGGCUUUCUUAUGGCUGUGGAGCAGGCCUGCAUGGCUGUGGGGCCACAGGGAAAUGGCGCUUGGCUGUGUGGCAUUUGCAGGCGCCCCUCUGCCCACUCUGGUUUCCCAGUCGAGCAGGAGAGGCUCUUAUGCACUCUCAGCAAGGACAUCUUAAAUGUGAGGAGCUGAGCACCUCCAGGGGACUUCCUUCGGAGGGAUUGCACUGAGGGACAAGGAGUUCAGCAGGGGCUGAAGGCAGACUGGAGAACUGAGUGGUGAAGUGGGGUCAGGAGGCACCACCUGAAGGAAUUCAAGGCUGAGAAAGGUAUUGGUGCAGGAUAAAUUUGUUUAUUUCCUGAAUAUUAAAGGGGA